CAAUAGCGUAUAUUAAAGUUGUUGCAGUUAAAAGCUCGUAGUCGGAUUUUGGCAUCAUGCCGAACUGUCGGCCGAUUGGUUUGUACGGUUUGGCGGGUGCUCUCCUUCCGGAGGCUCGUUUCCUCUUUCAUUAGAGGGUUCGAUGGUUCCGGGUCUUUUACUUUGAAAAAUUAGAGUGUUCAAAGCAGGCAACCGCUCUGAAUACAUUAGCAUGGAAUAACGCUAUAGGACUCUGGUCCUAUUGUGUUGGUCUUCGGGACCGGAGUAAUGAUUAAGAGGGACAGUUGGGGGCAUUCGUAUUUCAUUGUCAGAGGUGAAAUUCUUGGAUUUAUGAAAGACGAACUUCUGCGAAAGCAUUUGCCAAGGAUGUUUUCAUUAAUCAAGAACGAAAGUUGGGGGCUCGAAGAUGAUUAGAUACCA
rnacentral:rRNA from 1 species